rnacentral:rRNA from 1 species
UACGAAGGGGGCUAGCGUUGUUCGGAAUUACUGGGCGUAAAGCGCGCGCAGGCGGUCUUCCAAGUCAGUGGUGAAAGCCCGGAGCUCAACUCCGGAACUGCCAUUGAAACUGUGAGACUUGAGGAUGAGAGAGGUGAGUGGAAUUCCCAGUGUAGAGGUGAAAUUCGUAGAUAUUGGGAAGAACACCGGUGGCGAAGGCGGCUCACUGGCUCAUUUCUGACGCUCAGGCGCGACAGCGUGGGGAUCAGACAGG